UGGGCUUUCAGAGAGUUGCAUUAAGAGACGUGAGCAUAGUCAGCACAGUGGCCGCAGUGACAUAAGCAGGAGUUUUAAAGGACUAGGAAGACAGACUUCGCCUCACUCCGAGCAGAUGGGACGCUUCUCAGCCCCAGAGCCAGCUUUAUGCUUAUGGUCGUAAGCCAAAGGAUAUCCUCAUUCCCUCCCAAAGAUGCAGCCAUGCACGCCGAAAGCUACAAGGACCUUACUACACAGUGAACACUCUGUCGCUGUGAUGAGGUUAGUGAUCUUGAUAUGCAGAGAUCAUCCUAAAUUAUCUGAACGGGUCCAAUGUAUUCAUAAAGGUCCUAGUUGGGGACAGAAAGCCAAACACGGAGGCAAGGUACAGGGUCAGAUACAAAGACACUGGAGAUGCAGUGUCAGGCUGAGAGGGGUGGCUCAGUCGUUGAGCCCCCAGCCUGUGGAGCCACAAAGCAAGAGACCAACACUUAAGGGCUGUCCCCCGACCUCCACACAGGUGCCGUGAAACAUGUGUAGUACACACAUGCGCACGGGACCUACCCUACCAACAUCACGUACACAAAGAUGGGCAGCCACCAGCCACAGCUCACAAACAGGUGACCUCUAGGAGCUGGACAAGGAUGGAGGCGGAUUCUCCUCAGAGCCUGCAGGCGGAGCACAGCCUCAUCUCAGCUGACUUCAGCCUAGAGACACCCACUGGGACCCCUGACCCCAGAAAUGCAAGAUAACAGGCGUGUGCUCUUUUAUGCCCUCGGUUUGUGGUGACUUGUUGCAGCGUGAGACUCAGCGCCUGCCCUCUGAGCUCUGGGACAUGGCUGGUUCUACCUGAACACCAGACGUGCUUUCAUCGUUCACCCCUCACACCUCUCAGGUACGAUUUAUUCUCAUGUUCCAGGAGAGGAAAGUGAAGCCUGGUGAGGUUAAGGGACCUGCUGGCUGAGAAAGGAUUUCUGUCAGUGUACAGGAAGCGGGUGACUAAGAGUGGCCGGAUUCACCUGAUGCCCAGCUCAGCAAACAUCACAUCCCAUGGCAGGCUAUGCAGGUGCGUACUGGAGGGUGCCCCACCCAUAUGGUGUCCUGUGGGUUAGCUAUUCGUGCAGAUGAGACUCCAGCGUCCCUCCGUGGUGGAUGAAAGACAAAGUCCAGCCAACAGCAAGCAAAGGCUCCAAUGUAUAGAGGGACAAGGCGGUGUUUCCUUGGUAACAGGCCUGCAGGAGCUGGUUACUGAUGAGCACUUGGGGUCUUCCCAGCAGGUUCAAGUUCUGUUUCUGCUGCCCCAGACAACUUCUUCUCAGCUUAAAAGAGGUCAGCUUCCUACAGCAACGUGAGACUCCUGACUGACUCACUGACAGCUCUCUCUAGACUCAAGGGCAGCCAAGUGGGUCAACAACUGGAAUUGGGCUGCUCUGUGUACAACCUAGCCUGUCACUAACGAGCCUCAGGCUCCCCUCCUGUAAAAUGGGUGUGAGGAGAGCGCAGAUGCAGAGCCCCAAGCACAUCCAUGGCACAUUGAGGGUUUGACAGAUGUCAGCCAUUACUAUGACUAUUGGCAUUUUUAUUAAGAUCCCAGCAACUUUGCAAAUAGCACAUGCCUCACAGGCCUAAAACAGUUGCUUGAAAUGGUAACACUCAGGGGGCUGGAUGUGCUGUGCGCUGUUAUUCACAUCAAGACAAACAGUGAUUAUUCAUAGGAAUGGGCAACGGGGAUUAAAUCCAGAAAUAAACCUGCUUUUUUUUUAACUCUCACAUUGGGUUAGAAAUUUUAACACUUCUCACAAGCCUACUUCCUAGCCAAAAUAUAAGCGGGAGCGCACACGUGCAUGCACACACACACACACACACACACACACACACACACACACACACACACGUACACACACAUGCGCGCGCGUGCGCACAGAAAGAGCCCUGCCUCCGUAGGGUUUGCUUGGGGUAGUCUUAAGUUUCCCUCAUUCCACUGUGGUAGACAGACUAGAAGAGAAGGUCCAGGCCACCUGAGGAGACAGGGAUGAUCCCUGGUCCUUCUGUGAUCAAGGGCCAUCCAUUCAUCACAAAGGGACAUACAUCAUGGGUGACAGCCCAGGCCACACUUCUUUGCACCUGGGGGCAAGCUAGCCUUUUUAGAAAUACGACUGCGUGUGCUUCAUGAUGCUGGGGUGGGAUGUGGCUCACUUAAGGACACACGGGGGCAGGGCUCCAGCAGAGCUUAAAGUUGAAUGUUCGCUGGUUUGAGUACAAAACAGAGUGCUUACUCGCCAAAAAAGAGAGGAAGAAAAAGUGUUUCUAGGUCACUGGUUAAUAGGGCCCAGAAAGCCAGAGCCAAGCACCCGCAGGGGACAACGUGCAGUCACCCCGUGUCCGGCUAUUCACUCUGCUGUUUUGAUGCCUGACAAAUGUUCACAUUUAAGAGUUCUAAGUAUGCCAAUUAAGAGCUCUUCAGACUAAAUAUACUAAAGAAACCUUUCUCUUUUAAGAAUAAAUAAAAACCACAUCUAAAAAAA